GCAUCAGACUGCAAGUAAAUUAAUCAACAUAUGAAGAACAGACAUGAUAGCAGGCACACCAAAAAGGUUUUAAACCCAGAGGAUGAUAGCAAGGGGAUUCAGCAACAACAGAACUUCUAAAGCUAAACUACUCCGGUGAAAAUUUAUAACUAACCAGCAGGAUAAUCAAAUCACCAACUAAAACACA